UACGGGGGGGGCAAGCGUUGUUCGGAAUUACUGGGCGUAAAGGGCUCGUAGGUGGCCAACUAAGUCAGACGUGAAAUCCCUCAGCUUAACUGGGGAACUGCGUCUGAUACUGGAUGGCUUGAGUUUGGGAGAGGGAUGCGGAAUUCCAGGUGUAGCGGUGAAAUGCGUAGAUAUCGAGAGGAACACCUGCGGCGAAGGCGGGUAGCUGGGCCGACACUGACGCUGAUGCGCGAAAGCCAGGGGAGCGAACGGG
rnacentral:rRNA from 1 species